rnacentral:misc_RNA from 1 species
GAAACGCGAUAGUUAAUGUGAAUUGCAGAAUUCAGUGAAUCAUCGAGUCUUUGAACGCACAUUGCACCCAUAGGUAUUCCUUUGGGCAUGUCUGUUUGAGCGUCAUUACAACCCUCAGCUAACCGCUGGUUUUGAACCUGAACGGGUUACACCGCGCCGGUUUUAAAGUUGUAAGCUCUGCUGGCCGCUCUGCCCAACCAGAACAUAGUAAGCACUACUUGUCCGGGUGAAGCUGAACGGUACGGCCUGAACAAAACCUACCCACUCUCAAGGUUUGACCUCAGAUCAGACAAGGAUACCCGCUGAACUUAAGC